GACGAAGGAUGCAAGCGUUAUCCGGAUUCAUUGGGUUUAAAGGGAGCGUAGGUGGACUUGUAAGUCAGUGGAUGAAAUCUUUGGGCUUAACCCAGAAACUGCCAUUGAUACUGCAGGUCUAGAGUACAGUUGCCGUUGGCGGAAUAUGACAUGUAGUGGGUAGAAAUACUUAGAUAUGUCAUAGAACACCGAUUGCGAAGGACAGCUAACGAAGCUGUAACUGACACUAGAGGCUGCGAAAGUGCGGGGAUACGAAACAGG
rnacentral:rRNA from 1 species